CCUACGGGUGGCUGCAGUGAGGAAUAUUGGUCAAUGGGCGCGAGCCUGAACCAGCCAAGUAGCGUGAAGGAUGAAUGCCCUACGGGUUGUAAACUUCUUUUAUCAAGGAAUAAAGUGCGGCACGUGUGCCCUUUUGUAUGUACUUUAUGAAUAAGGAUCGGCUAACACCGUGCCAGCAGCCGCGGUACUACGGAGGAUCCGGGCGUUGUCCGGAUUUAUUGGGUUUAAAGGGAACGUAGAUGGGUGGUUAAGUCAGUUGUGAAAGUUUGCGGCUCAACCGGACAAUUGCAAUUGAUACUGGCAGGCUGGAGUACAGUUGAGGUAGGCAGAAUUCGUGGUGUAGCGGUGAAAUGCUUAGAGAUGGCGAAGAACUCCGAUUGCGAAGGCAGCUUACUAAACUGAGACUGACAUUGAUGCUCGAAAGUGUGGGUAUCAAACAGGAUUAGAUACCCCAGUAGUC
rnacentral:rRNA from 1 species